rnacentral:rRNA from 1 species
UUUUAUGGAGAGUUUGAUCCUGGCUCAGGAUGAACGCUGGCGGCGUGCCUAAUACAUGCAAGUCGAGCGAACGGACGAGAAGCUUGCUUCUCUGAUGUUAGCGGCGGACGGGUGAGUAACACGUGGAUAACCUACCUAUAAGACUGGGAUAACUUCGGGAAACCGGAGCUAAUACCGGAUAAUAUUUUGAACCGCAUGGUUCAAAAGUGAAAGACGGUCUUGCUGUCACUUAUAGAUGGAUCCGCGCUGCAUUAGCUAGUUGGUAAGGUAACGGCUUACCAAGGCAACGAUGCAUAGCCGACCUGAGAGGGUGAUCGGCCACACUG